rnacentral:tRNA from 4 species
GGUGAGGUGUCCGAGUGGCUGAAGGAGCACGCCUGGAAAGUGUGUAUACGUUAAUAGCGUAUCGAGGGUUCGAAUCCCUCCCUCACCGCCA